rfam:Brachypodium distachyon strain Bd21 chromosome 2, whole genome shotgun sequence.
GAUAUACUCCCUCCGUCCCAUAUUAAGUGCCGAAAUAUUACAUGUAUCUAAACGUAUUUUAGUAUAUAGAUACGUCCAUAUUUAGACAAAAUUUUGAGUCACUUAAUAUUGGACGGAGGGAGUAGUAA